rnacentral:rRNA from 1 species
UGCCUAAUACAUGCAAGUCGAACGAGUUCUGAUUAUUGAAAGGUGCUUGCAUCUUGAUUUAAUUUUGAACGAGUGGCGGACGGGUGAGUAACACGUGGGUAACCUGCCCUUAAGUGGGGGAUAACAUUUGGAAACAGAUGCUAAUACCGCAUAAAUCCAAGAACCGCAUGGUUCUUGGCUGAAAGAUGGCGUAAGCUAUCGCUUUUGGAUGGACCCGCGGCGUAUUAGCUAGUUGGUGAGGUAACGGCUCACCAAGGCAAUGAUACGUAGCCGAACUGAGAGGUUGAUCGGCCACAUUGGGACUGAGACACGGCCCAAACUCCUACGGGAGGCAGCAGUAGGGAAUCUUCCACAAUGGACGCAAGUCUGAUGGAGCAACGCCGCGUGAGUGAAGAAGGCUUUCGGGUCGUAAAACUCUGUUGUUGGAGAAGAAUGGUCGGCAGAGUAACUGUUGUCGGCGUGACGGUAUCCAACCAGAAAGCCACGGCUAACUACGUGCCAGCAGCCGCGGUAAUACGUAGGUGGCAAGCGUUAUCCGGAUUUAUUGGGCGUAAAGCGAGCGCAGGCGGUUUUUUAAGUCUGAUGUGAAAGCCCCUCGGCUUAACCGAGGAAGUGCAUCGGAAACUGGGAAACUUGAGUGCAGAAGAGGACAGUGGAACUCCAUGUGUAGCGGUGAAAUGCGUAGAUAUAUGGAAGAACACCAGUGGCGAAGGCGGCUGUCUGGUCUGUAACUGACGCUGAGGCUCGAAAGCAUGGGUAGCGAACAGGAUUAGAUACCCUGGUAGUCCAUGCCGUAAACGAUGAAUGCUAGGUGUUGGAGGGUUUCCGCCCUUCAGUGCCGCAGCUAACGCAUUAAGCAUUCCGCCUGGGGAGUACGACCGCAAGGUUGAAACUCAAAGGAAUUGACGGGGGCCCGCACAAGCGGUGGAGCAUGUGGUUUAAUUCGAAGCAACGCGAAGAACCUUACCAGGUCUUGACAUCUUUUGAUCACCUGAGAGAUCAGGUUUCCCCUUCGGGGGCAAAAUGACAGGUGGUGCAUGGUUGUCGUCAGCUCGUGUCGUGAGAUGUUGGGUUAAGUCCCGCAACGAGCGCAACCCUUAUGACUAGUUGCCAGCAUUUAGUUGGGCACUCUAGUAAGACUGCCGGUGACAAACCGGAGGAAGGUGGGGAUGACGUCAAAUCAUCAUGCCCCUUAUGACCUGGGCUACACACGUGCUACAAUGGAUGGUACAACGAGUUGCGAGACCGCGAGGUCAAGCUAAUCUCUUAAAGCCAUUCUCAGUUCGGACUGUAGGCUGCAACUCGCCUACACGAAGUCGGAAUCGCUAGUAAUCGCGGAUCAGCACGCCGCGGUGAAUACGUUCCCGGGCCUUGUACACACCGCCCGUCACACCAUGAGAGUUUGUAACACCCGAAGCCGGUGGCGUAACCCUUUUAGGGAGCGAGCCGUCUAAGGUGGGACAAAUGAUUAGGGUGAAGUCG